UGGGUUGUGGUUUAGUGUUAGAGCGCUCACCUAGCACGUGUGAGGCCCUGGGUUCGAUCCUCAGCACCACAU
rnacentral:tRNA from 1 species